rnacentral:rRNA from 1 species
AGAGUUUGAUCCUGGCUCAGAACGAACGCUGGCGGCAGGCUUAACACAUGCAAGUCGAACGCCCCGCAAGGGGAGUGGCAGACGGGUGAGUAACGCGUGGGAAUCUACCGUACCCUACGGAAUAACGCAUGGAAACGUGUGCUAAUACCGUAUACGCCCUACGGGGGAAAGAUUUAUCGGGGUAUGAUGAGCCCGCGUUGGAUUAGCUAGUUGGUGGGGUAAAGGCCUACCAAGGCGACCAUCCAUAGCUGGUCUGAGAGGAUGAUCAGCCACAUUGGGACUGAGACACGGCCCAAACUCCUACGGGAGGCAGCAGUGGGGAAUAUUGGACAAUGGGCGCAAGCCUGAUCCAGCCAUGCCGCGUGAGUGAUGAAGGUCUUAGGAUUGUAAAGCUCUUUCACCGAUGAAGAUAAUGACGGUAGUCGGAGAAGAAGCCCCGGCUAACUUCGUGCCAGCAGCCGCGGUAAUACGAAGGGAGCUAGCGUUGUUCGGAAUUACUGGGCGUAAAGCGCACGUAGGCGGAUAUUUAAGUCAGGGGUGAAAUCCCGCAGCUCAACUGCGGAACUGCCUUUGAUACUGGGUAUCUCGAGUAUGGAAGAGGUGAGUGGAAUUCCGAGUGUAGAGGUGAAAUUCGUAGAUAUUCGGAGGAACACCAGUGGCGAAGGCGGCUCACUGGUCCAUUACUGACGCUGAGGUGCGAAAGCGUGGGGAGCAAACAGGAUUAG